rnacentral:rRNA from 1 species
GAUGAACGCUGGCGGCGUGCCUAAUACAUGCAAGUCGAGCGAACGGACGAGAAGCUUGCUUCUCUGAUGUUAGCGGCGGACGGGUGAGUAACACGUGGAUAACCUACCUAUAAGACUGGGAUAAAUUCGGGAAACCGGAGCUAAUACCGGAUAAUAUUUUGAACCGCAUGGUUCAAAAGUAAAAGACGGUCUUGCUGUCACUUAUAGAUGGAUCCGCGCUGCAUUAGCUAGUUGGUAAGGUAACGGCUUACCAAGGCAACGAUGCAUAGCCGACCUGAGAGGGUGAUCGGCCACACUGGAACUGAGCCACGGUCCAGACUCCUACGGGAGGCAGCAGUAGGGAAUCUUCCGCAAUGGGCGAAAGCCUGACGGGGCAACGCCGCGUGAGUGAUGAAGGUCUUCGGAUCGUAAAACUCUGUUAUUAGGGAAGAACAUAUGUGUAAGUAACUGUGCACAUCUUGACGGUACCUAAUCAGAAAGCCACGGCUAACUACGUG